AUGCUCUAUACUACUCUUUACCUUUGCCAGGGUUAGGUGCUCCAGGCCAAGUGCAGCCUCUUCCUCAGAUGCCGUAUAGCCCAAAAUAUAGUUUGUUCUCCUCGUGGUUCUACUCCAUGUUAUCUCCAAUGUUACAUGAAGAUGACCCAGUGGUGUGAAUAUAAAAAGAUAGGUUGUAUCAGAUACAGAGUCCUUGAUGUAGCAUCACGGCAAGAAGUCGCAGGGUGGAUUAUCUAGUGAUCGUAGAGACCAGCAAAACAUUGUAGAUGUGAGCAGCCUGGCAGAGAGCAGUGACCCAGCUGAUGCUUUUGUAGCAUUGGGACCAACAAGCAGCAAAUCUCCUUCUGCGGUGACCAAGCCGAGUGGUAAUACUUGAUGUGACAAGUGACUUGCUAACUGAGGCUUGAAGAAAGCGCAAGAGUGAACCAAUAAAGCAGAUUGCAUUUUAGGAUUCCCCUUUCUGAGGAAGGAUUACUCUGAAAAUAGUUUUUACUGUGUUUA